rnacentral:misc_RNA from 1 species
AAACUGCGAUACGUAAUGUGAAUUGCAGAACUUAGUGAAUCAUCGAAUCUUUGAACGCAAAUGGCGCUCCCGGCAUUCCCGGGAGCAUGUCUGUCUGAGUGUCAUUUAAAUAACCUCACGUUCCGCAACGAAAGUUGUAUGAAUGUGGCAGUGAGGCGGUCACGGACCUUUAGUCAUUGAAAGUCCGAGUCCCUUCAAAGAACGAGACGCGCAAAGCCGAUUUACUUCCAAAUCGCUCGCCCAAAACAUGGUGUGACAAUUUGCUCGAAUGCGUAGCACUUUACUAACGCUAUGGCUGGGUCGAGCGGCACGGGAGAGGCAAUGUGUGGUCCACUUUUGAAAUGUUCGCAAGAACAUUUUACUUUUCAACCUUGACCUCAGAUCAGGCAAGAUUACCCGC